AAGAAGAAGAUACAUCAACAAUAUUAUUUUGUUAGUCUAUCGUUACCAAAAUUUGUAUUGAUCUCUUUCAUCAUGAAUAAUUCUGAUCCUAGAAACACAUCCAACGGUAUAGGAUACAAGCAAUCACCUUCGGAUAAAAAGAAGGAUGAGAAGGAUGACAAAAAGAAGGGUGAAAAGCAAGGUGGAAAGAAGAAGAGUGUUCAAGGUGGUCUUUCUCCUAAUUAAUCUCCAAACAAUCGAGGUUCAUUAAUUUGGAAUUGGGAUUGAUGCACGAAGAACAUUAGCAGCAGCAUAGACUAAUGUUGGUUAAAGAUUACUCUUUUAUUUCUUGAAAUGUUCGUUUAGUAAGUGGUCUAGAUUUACAACUUAAGAGGUCAUGAGUUGUUACUGAAUUGAAUUGGUUAUAAAUUUGUUUUAUUGCAAAUACCUUGUACGAUAUGAAGGUUUAUUAAUAAUAAAUUGGUGUUUUUAUUUAUUUA